rnacentral:rRNA from 1 species
GAUGAACGCUGGCGGCAUGCCUAAUACAUGCAAGUCGAACGAGAGGAAGGAAAGCUUGCUUUUCUGAAUCUAGUGGCGAACGGGUGAGUAACACGUAGGUAACCUGCCCAUGUGCCCGGGAUAACUUCUGGAAACGGAUGCUAAAACCGGAUAGGUAGCAGACAAGCAUUUGACUGCUAUUAAAGUGGCUAAGGCCAUGAACAUGGAUGGACCUGCGGUGCAUUAGCUAGUUGGUGAGGUAACGGCCCACCAAGGCGACGAUGCAUAGCCGGCCUGAGAGGGCGGACGGCCACAUUGGGACUGAGACACGGCCCAAACUCCUACGGGAGGCAGCAGUAGGGAAUUUUCGUCAAUGGGGGGAACCCUGAACGAGCAGUGCCGCGUGAGUGAGGAAGGUCUUCGGAUCGUAAAGCUCUGUUGUAAGAGAAAAACGACAUUCAUAGGGAAUGAUGAGUGGGUGAUGGUAUCUUACCAGAAAGUCACGGCUAACUACGUGCCAGCAGCCGCGGUAA